UACGUAGGGGGCUAGCGUUGUCCGGAAUCAUUGGGCGUAAAGCGCGCGUAGGCGGCCAGAUAAGUCCGGUGUGAAAGUCACAGGCUCAACCUGUGAAUGCCGCUGGAAACUGUCUGGCUAGAGUCCGGAAGGGGCGAGUGGAAUUCCUGGUGUAGCGGUGAAAUGCGCAGAUAUCAGGAGGAACACCGGUGGCGAAGGCGGCGUUCUGGACUGCAACUGACACUGAGAGACGAAAGCCAGGGGAGCAAACGGG
rnacentral:rRNA from 1 species